rnacentral:lncRNA from 1 species
GACUCUUCCUCUCCUUCUCUCUUUCUCAGACUCUCGAGCGCCGGCCCCAGGAUGACAAUCACAUCCCAAGCGCGCCGAUCGCUUCCAACUUUGCUCUCCUUUUGCUAACUCUGGGCGGAGCGGCAAUCUCGACGUACAACUGGCCUUAGUCUUGGCUCGGGCCGUUCGGGAACACAAAGGGAAAGAUGCAGCGGGCUGCGCUCGGGAGAACGCUCUGCGCCCUCCUCGCCAGUGCGAAUAGCGAAGUUGGCGGACGUCUUGUUCUCCCGAGAGCUGGGCUGGGAGGUGGUUUUUCUCCCUCCACGCUCCACAGUGGCUUCUCCCUCCUGCCGGAGGUCUCUAGGUUGAGCUGGAGACCUGGAAUUCAGAUCCCAGGGAGAGUCGAUGGAUGCCGGCGCUCAGGGCACAGCGAGGCCGAGAUGACCGCCUUUCUGCGCCAGCAACUGCAGCAGCACAGGAUGUUUCUUGGCUUCAAACCAUUUGGAUAAGUGAUGGCAGCAAGCUUCGCCACUGUAAAGUCACCUCUUUGUAAGAAGACAGGAGCUCUUUGUAAAGAAUAUGAGACCUGAGGCUGGGGGAUGGCUGAGAAGGGAAAAGCACCUCUGCACAAGCGUGAGAAAAGGAGUUUGUUCUUCCACAUCCAUGUAGAAAUCUUGAUGCCGUGCCGUGAACCCCAGCUCUCCUACGGGAAGAUGGGAGGCGUAGACAGGAGUUCAUCUGGAAGCUUGAGGCCAGCCACCCAGAUCCUCAGAGCUGCAGACAAAAGAGAGGCCCUGCAGCAAAAGAGUGGAAGGUGAGAACCAACUCCGGAAAGUUGCCCUCUGACCUUUACAAGUGUAUACAUCCACACACAUACAAUAAAAUCAAUUGCUCAAUCACGUA